rnacentral:rRNA from 1 species
GACGAACGCUGGCGGCGUGCUUAACACAUGCAAGUCGAACGGUGAAGCGCCUUCCUUUUUGGUGGGUGUGGAUGAGUGGCGAACUGGUGAGUAACACGUGAGUAACCUGCCCCCUUCUUCUGGAUAACCGCAUGAAAGUGUGGCUAAUACGGGAUAUUCUGGGUCUGUCGCAUGAUGGGUCUGGGAAAGAUAUUGUUUCGGUGGGGGAUGGGCUCGCGGCCUAUCAGCUUGUUGGUGGGGUGAUGGCCUACCAAGGCGGUGACGGGUAGCCGGCCUGAGAGGGUGGACGGUCACAAUGGGAAGGAGACACGGCGCAGACUCCUACGGGAGGCAGCAGUGGGGAAUAGUGCACAAUGGGCGCAAGCCUGAUGCAGCGACGCCGCGUGAGGGAUGGAGGCCUUCGGGUUGUGAACCUCUUUCGCCAGUGAAGCAGGCCUGCCUCGUUUGUGGGUGGGUUGACGGUAGCUGGAUAAGAAGCGCCGGCUAACUACGUG